ACGGAAGGCAGCAGUGGGGAAUAUUGCACAAUGGGCGAAAGCCUGAUGCAGCGACGCCGCGUGAGUGAAGAAGUAUCUCGGUAUGUAAAGCUCUAUCAGCAGGGAAGAAAAUGACGGUACCUGACUAAGAAGCCCCGGCUAACUACGUGCCAGCAGCCGCGGUAAUACGUAGGGGGCAAGCGUUAUCCGGAUUUACUGGGUGUAAAGGGAGCGUAGACGGUUUGGCAAGUCUGAAGUGAAAUGCGGGGGCUCAACUCCUGAACUGCUUUGGAAACUGUCGAACUAGAGUGCAGGAGAGGUAAGUGGAAUUCCUAGUGUAGCGGUGAAAUGCGUAGAUAUUAGGAGGAACUCCAGUGACGAAGGCGGCUUACUGGACUGUAACCGACGUUGAGGCUCGAAAGCGUGGGGAGCAAACAGGAUUAGAUACCCUGGUA
rnacentral:rRNA from 1 species